rnacentral:rRNA from 1 species
UAUUGCACAAUGGGGGCAACCCUGAUGCAGCGACGCCGCGCGAGCGAAGAAGUAUUUCGGUAUGUAAAGCUCUAUCAGCAGGGACGAAAAUGACGGUACCUGACUAAGAAGCUCCGGCUAAAUACGUGCCAGCAGCCGCGGUAAUACGUAGGGGGCAAGCGUUAUCCGGAUUUACUGGGUGUAAAGGGAGCGUAGACGGCAGCACAAGUCUGGAGUGAAAUGCCGGGGCUUAACCCCGGAACUGCUUUGGAAACUGUGCAGCUAGAGUGCAGGAGAGGUAAGUGGAAUUCCUAGUGUAGCGGUGAAAUGCGUAGAUAUUAGGAGGAACACCGGUGGCGAAGGCGGCCUGCUGGACGACAACUGACGCUGAGGCUCGAAAGCGUGGGGAGCAAACAGG